rnacentral:sRNA from 1 species
UGGCCGAGCCUUGACAUUGUCUUUUACAUUGUGUUUUUGGUGUUUCAUUAACCUUAUUGAUAUAACGAGUGUUGAAUGUUAUCUUGUUAGGGCCGUUUCAAUGGAAGGGAAAAAACCAAGUUGGCGGCUUCUUAUCUCGAUGGAGUCAUCAAUCAUUAUUGAAAUGAAUCGUUUACUACGAAAGUGUCAUGUGGAGCGGAUUAGGAUGACUCCAUUUAUGUGGUGUUUGAAUAUUGGAAGCCCUGUGGAGGUGAAUUUGAAAUUGUUGAAGGUUAUGGUUUGCAGGUGGGUCGGGCAUGAUAAUAGUUUU